rnacentral:rRNA from 1 species
CCUACGGGAGGCAGCAGUGGGGAAUCUUGCGCAAUGGGCGAAAGCCCGACGCAGCAACGCCGCGUGCGGGAUGAAGGCCUUCGGGCUGUAAACCGCUUUCAGCAGGAACGAAAAAUGACGGUACCUGCAGAAGAAGGAGCGGCCAACUACGUGCCAGCAGCCGCGGUGACACGUAGGCUCCAAGCGUUGUCCGGAUUUAUUGGGCGUAAAGAGCUCGUAGGCGGUCUAAUAAGUCGGGUGUGAAAACUCUGGGCUCAACCCGGAGACGCCAUCCGAUACUGUUAUGACUUGAGUUCAGGAGGGGAGCGGGGAAUUCCUAGUGUAGCGGUGAAAUGCGCAGAUAUUAGGAGGAACACCGGUGGCGAAGGCGCCGCUCUGGACUGAAACUGACGCUGAGGAGCGAAAGCAUGGGUAGCAAACAGGAUUAGAUACCCUGGUAGUCCAUGCCGUAAACGGUGGGCACUAGGUGUGGGUUUCAACUACGAAAUCCGCGCCGUGCUAACGCAUUAAGUGCCCGCCUGGGGAGUCGGCGCAAGCUAAACUUAAAGGAAUUGACCGGNNGAGAGNGCGACGACGACGACGAGGAGAG